AUGCACCACGAGGAGGACGUAGACGAGCAGCAGCAGGUGGUGCGCGUACCAGAAGGCGUUGAAGCCGGCCAGGUGGUGCAGCGGCGACGGCAGCUUGACGACGCUCCGCCUGAAGGUGUGCAUGGCCAGCGUGAAGGAGAAGGUCAUGAUGAUGAUCAUGAGGAUGCCGGUGACGCCGGGGGCGCUGGCCAGCAGGUCCGGGUACGUCGGCUGCCUGAAGCCGAAGUUGGGGCCCAGCAGGGCCAUGAACUUGUCGCUCGGGCAGGAGACGAGCCUGGGGAAGUCGCAGGUGACGUGGGCGAGCGUGUGCACCACCGUGCCGACGGCGAUGGCGCCGGCGAGCACCUUGUGGAAGUUGAUGUUGUCGUCGAAGGGGAUGACGUGGCUGAGCGCGGUGGAGCGGAGGGUGGUGAGCGUGUUGCGGCAGACGGGCAGCAGGAUGAGCGCCAUGUUGAGCUUGAGCGUCUCGGCGGCGCCCUUGGCGACGCAGACGCAGUUGCCCAUGACCUGGAAGGAGGACCGGCGCUUGUACUGCUCGAACUUGUAGACGAAGAGGGCGAGGUUGGCGGCCAGCCAGAGCGUCACCAGCCAUAUCCGCUUCCAGUUCUCGUGGGCGAAGUCCAUGGUCCUGGUGACGUGCCGCUUCAGCGGGCUCCGGUACCGCAUCGGGAUCAUCGUCCUCGCCAGGCUCGACGUCGUCCGCUUCAGCUUCACCUCCGGCGCCUGCGCGCUCACCAUCCCGCGCAGCAGCGUCUCCAGCUGCCAAAUCUGCAUCGGAGGUUUGGAGGUCAGCGACUCGCGCUCUCUGAUGUUCCGACAUGGCGACCACUACUAGUAGUCUGUCAUUACUGCCGUACCUCGAUGUAG
rnacentral:rRNA from 1 species